rnacentral:rRNA from 1 species
GAUCAGGCUCAGGACGAACGCUGGCGGCGUGCCUAAUACAUGCAAGUAGAACGCUGAAGGAGGAGCUUGCUUCUCUGGAUGAGUUGCGAACGGGUGAGUAACGCGUAGGUAACCUGCCUGGUAGCGGGGGAUAACUAUUGGAAACGAUAGCUAAUACCGCAUAAUAGCAGUUGUUGCAUGACAACUGUUUGAAAGGUGCAAAUGCAUCACUACCAGAUGGACCUGCGUUG